rnacentral:lncRNA from 1 species
GAAAAAGGUCCCAUCUGGAGACCUGCUUUGCAAUACUUUCCUCUUCUAACCACAUCACCUGACAGAAUCUAGAAGAUCCUGCUUUGGUGUGUGAAGCGUCUUCUCUAGAAGAAACUAGUACAGCCAGGUCAUCGUCACUCCAUGUAAGAUGGUAAUUGCAGCAGUCAGUGCUCAGCUUGACGUUCUGACACAGGACUAAGUGGGCUGAGCUCAACAUGUGAUCUAGAAAACAAUCGAAAAGCUAACAUCAAGGACUGGGAGUUCUGCUGAGGAAAUGAGUUCCUGUCCCAGAACUCAUGCUUUGUUUUGUGAAGAUGGAAAAACAUCUGUACGGUGCUACACUCUGUGGGAAAACCAGCGCUCGGGAAAACGGGCACAGAGGGAUCCCUGGGGCUCACUGCUCAGCCAAACUAGCAUAUUUGGCAAACUUCAGGCCAGUAAGUGAGCCACCAACAAAAGGUAUGCAGAGAGCACUUAAAGAAGACCCCUGACAUGAGCACACAUGUGCUGCUUCAUCACACAUGUGUGUGCAAACACACGUAUACACUUUUAAAAAAAAUGAUGUCAAAAAACAAUUCCUAGGAAUUUGUCAAUGAUAGGUUUAGAAAUCAAAUAGAUAGCUUUCAUCCACGCAUAGUACCUACUAUUUCUCCUUGUAAAUCAAUAUUCCUCCCUGGCUCCCUGGCUCCCUGGCUCCCUGACUCCCUGGCCUCCUGGGUCCCUGGGUCCCUGGUUCCCUGGCUCCCUGGCUCCCUGGCUCCCUGGCUCCCUGGCUCCCUGGCUCCCUGGCUCCCUGGCUCCCUGCCUCCCUGCCUCCCUGCCUCCUUGCCUCCCUGCCUCCCUGCCUCCCUGCCUCCCUGCCUCCCUGGUUCCCUGCCUCUCUGCCUCCCUACAUUUUUUUCCUCCCUGCCUCUCAUGGAAGUAGCUUUCCACAAUUGCUCCACAUCUGUUGGGAGCCAACUCCUAGCAGAAAGCAGCUAUCAUCUCUGCAGCCAUCUCAGGCUAUUUACUUACAGGUGGUACUUUUCCACCCUGAUGAGAGACUUGUUUUCCUAGCAUGAUGUUUUUGAAAGAAGCCCACCACAGCUGAAAAUACUCUGAUAACAUCUUGUUUUUCUCCUAUACACCCUGGACUGUGGUUAAGUGUCUCCAACUGCACUCCCCAGCUUGUGCUUAUAUACUCAUAGUUGCCUUCCAAUAAAUGAGACUCAAGACUUGAGACUUGAUCACAUAGCCUGUCUUGUCUCCAUUCUUCACGUCUCUUGUCCCUCCAUCCUCAUUCUUUCUCUUGCAGACCCUGUUGACUGACCCACGGACCAGGUCACACAUCCCCAGUGAAUAGACACCCUUUACCUUCCCUAUCUAGGAAGGAAUCUUUUCACUAAUGGCUUUUUAGUUUGACUAUCUAGGAUGACUCUCGUGUCCUCUCAGAAAUCCCUGCAAAAGCUUUCUGUUAAUGAAAAUAUUGUGUGAGUAUACACACAGGUGCAUGCUAGGAUUAUGACCAUCCUAAGAGAGAUGGGAAAGGGGCGGGAUGGAGGGAGGAUUCUACUAUAUACCUGUAUACCA